UCUCGCUCUAUCUCUCUGUCAAUGGUCGCAAAGAGCAACGGCAAAAUACAACCACCACCUCGGCCGUUUAAAAACCCGAACCCAUUAUAAAAAAAAACCCGAACCCGAAUAUCCCAUUCCAGGUCGAACAAUGUUCGGAGGUUUGUGUUCCUGCCCGUGCUUUGGAGACCGGAGCUCUGACGCGGAUGGGUCUGAAGUCGAUCCGGUUCUGCUCGUCUCCGGCAUGGGAGGCUCCAUUCUCCACUCCAAGAAUAAAAAGUUCGGGUUCGAGACACGGGUCUGGGUCCGGAUCCUUCUGGCGGACCUCGAGUUCAAGAAGAAGCUCUGGUCUGUCUAUAAUCCUACCACAGGUUAUACAGAAACAUUGGAUGAUGACACUGAAAUUUUGGUCCCCGAUGAUGAUUACGGGCUGUAUGCAAUUGAUAUUUUAGAUCCAUCAUUGGUGAUAAAACUUUUACAUUUCACAGAGGUAUAUCAUUUUCAUGCUUUGAUUGAUAUGCUUGUUAAAUGUGGCUAUAAGAAGGGAACCACGUUAUUUGGAUAUGGUUAUGAUUUCCGGCAAAGCAAUAGAAUUGACAAGUUAAUGGAAGGUCUUAAAAUGAAGUUGAAAGCAGCUCACCAAGCUUCUGGUGGUAGAAAAGUCAAUAUAAUCUCGCAUUCAAUGGGCGGGCUGCUAGUGUUGUGUUUCAUGUCACUCCAUAAUGAGGUAUUUUCCAAGUAUGUGAAUAAGUGGAUAUGCAUUGCAUGCCCCUUUCAAGGUGCACCGGGAUGCAUUAAUGAUUCACUCUUAACUGGAUUGCAGUUUGUUGAAGGAUUUGAAAGCUACUUUUUUGUGUCAAGGUGGACAAUGCACCAGCUGUUGGUUGAGUGCCCAUCAAUCUAUGAGAUGUUGGCAAACCCAGAAUUUAAUUGGAAAAAACAGCCAGAAAUUCAAGUUUGGCGAAAGCACUCCACAGAUGAGGAAACUUCUGUCGAUUUGGAAUCUUACGGUCCAAUUGAAAGUAUCACACUGUUUGAAGAAGCAUUGAGGGAUAAUGAGCUUAAUUAUGAUGGAAAAAUGGUAGCUCUGCCUUUUAACUCCGAGAUUCUCAAAUGGGCUGCUGGGACUCGCCAAGUUAUAUAUGAUGCUAAAUUACCGGAUGGGGUCUGCUUCUAUAACAUUUAUGGAACAUCAUUUGACACACCUUUUGACGUUUGCUAUGGCUCGGAAACAUCUCCAAUUGACGACUUGUCUGAAAUUUGCCACUCAAUGCCCCAGUAUUCUUAUGUUGAUGGAGAUGGAACAGUUCCUGCUGAGUCAGCAAAGGCUGAUGGAUUUGAUGCAGUUGAAAGAGUAGGAGUUGCUGCUAGUCAUCGUGGAGUAUUACACGACGAAACAGUUUUUAAAUACAUCCAAAAGUGGUUGGGGGUUGAUCAAAAGGUCCGGAAGCAUUCAAAGUCUUCCAGAGUAGUAGAUGCUUCAACUUAGCUCAUGGACUUGCAAUUCUUUUAUGCAGAAAGGGGAUAUGUUUCACAUAGUCACGAUUUGGAAUAAUGAUCUCUCUUCAGGGGGGAAGUGGCCCUCUCUUUUAGUAAGCAGAAGCUUAUUUAUUUCCAGAGCAAGUUCAAGUUUCCAAAGGAAGAAAUCAACCCAAUGCAAGAUGAUCUUCCAAAAGCCCUUGGUUCGGACAGAUCUCAAUUUCUCAUGGCAGAUUUAAUGCCUUCUCAAAAAAAUUCUAUUUGAAAGAUUGUUUAAGAGUUAGUCUAUAUACUGUCCUUAAAUAAAGACUGUUCAUGUAAGCUCAUACAGUUAUAUUUAAAAA